rnacentral:rRNA from 1 species
AUUGAACGCUGGCGGCAGGGUUAACACAUGCAAGUCGAACGAUGACUAACUAGCUUGCUAGUUAUGAUUAGUGGCGGACGGGUGAGUAACAUUUAGGAAUCUGCCUAGUAGUGGGGGAUAGCUCGGGGAAACUCGAAUUAAUACCGCAUACGACCUACGGGUGAAAGGGGGCGCAAGCUCUUGCUAUUAGAUGAGCCUAAAUCAGAUUAGCUAGUUGGUGGGGUAAAGGCCCACCAAGGCGACGAUCUGUAACUGGUCUGAGAGGAUGAUCAGUCACACCGGAACUGAGACACGGUCCGGACUCCUACGGGAGGCAGCAGUGGGGAAUAUUGGACAAUGGGGGCAACCCUGAUCCAGCCAUGCCGCGUGUGUGAAGAAGGCCUUUUGGUUGUAAAGCACUUUAAGCAGGGAGGAGAGGCUAAUGGUUAAUACCCAUUAGAUUAGACGUUACCUGCAGAAUAAGCACCGGCUAACUCUGUGCCAGCAGCCGCGGUAAUACAGAGGGUGCGAGCGUUAAUCGGAAUUACUGGGCGUAAAGCGAGUGUAGGUGGCUCAUUAAGUCACAUGUGAAAUCCCCGGGCUUAACCUGGGAACUGCAUGUGAUACUGGUGGUGCUAGAAUAUGUGAGAGGGAAGUAGAAUUCCAGGUGUAGCGGUGAAAUGCGUAGAGAUCUGGAGGAAUACCGAUGGCGAAGGCAGCUUCCUGGCAUAAUAUUGACACUGAGAUUCGAAAGCGUGGGUAGCAAACAGGAUUAGAUACCCUGGUAGUCCACGCCGUAAACGAUGUCUACUAGCCGUUGGGGUCCUUGAGACUUUUGUGGCGCAGUUAACGCGAUAAGUAGACCGCCUGGGGAGUACGGCCGCAAGGUUAAAACUCAAAUGAAUUGACGGGGGCCCGCACAAGCGGUGGAGCAUGUGGUUUAAUUCGAUGCAACGCGAAGAACCUUACCUGGUCUUGACAUAGUGAGAAUCCUGCAGAGAUGCGGGAGUGCCUUCGGGAAUUCACAUACAGGUGCUGCAUGGCUGUCGUCAGCUCGUGUCGUGAGAUGUUGGGUUAAGUCCCGCAACGAGCGCAACCCUUUUCCUUAUUUGCCAGCGGGUUAAGCCGGGAACUUUAAGGAUACUGCCAGUGACAAACUGGAGGAAGGCGGGGACGACGUCAAGUCAUCAUGGCCCUUACGACCAGGGCUACACACGUGCUACAAUGGUAGGUACAGAGGGUUGCUACACAGCGAUGUGAUGCUAAUCUCAAAAAGCCUAUCGUAGUCCGGAUUGGAGUCUGCAACUCGACUCCAUGAAGUCGGAAUCGCUAGUAAUCGCAGAUCAGAAUGCUGCGGUGAAUACGUUCCCGGGCCU